GGGGGUAUAGCUCAGUGUUAGAGCUUUCGAUUGCAGAUCGAGAUGUCCUCGAUUCAAACCCGGGAGCUCUCU